rnacentral:snRNA from 1 species
GUGCUGUUUCACCAGCACAGAUACUAAAAUUAGAAUGGUAUGGAGAAGAUCAGCAUGGCCCCUGAGCAAGAAUGACACACAAAUUCAUGAAGCAUUCCAUAUUUAA